AGAGAAAUUUGUUGAAUUUCAAAGAACAAAGCAAUCAAAGGUGGUGAACCCUUUGAUAAGGGUAAAGAUAUCAUACCUGAGGACCAAGAAUAAGAGUACUCCAAACUCCCAUUAUUGCUCAGGAUAGUCUGUAGAUAGCCGAUUUUGUCGAGGGUUGCUUUUGGAUUUGCAUCCUUAGAAAUCGAAGGUCUACAGUCUUAUAUAUUUUCGAUUAUAUUGGGGCCCACAUGUCAUUGUAGAAUAUUUUUGAAUACCUGGUUUAGUGUGCUAUUAUAUAUAUGAAUUUAUUUUGC